rnacentral:rRNA from 1 species
CCUACGGGUGGCAGCAGUCGAGAAUCAUUCACAAUGGGGGAAACCCUGAUGGUGCGACGCCGCGUGGGGGAAUGAAGGUCUUCGAAUUGUAAACCCCUGUCAUGCGGGAGCAAAUCAAAAAGAUAGUACCACAAGAGGAAGAGACGGCUAACUCUGUGCCAGCAGCCGCGGUAAUACAGAGGUCUCAAGCGUUGUUCGGAAUCACUGGGCGUAAAGCGUGCGUAGGCUGUGUCGUAAGUCCGGUGUGAAAGGCGCGGGCUCAAACCGCGGACGGCAUAUGAUACUGCGAGACUAGAGUAUAGGUGCGGGAGGCGGAAUGUACGGUGUAGCAGUGAAAUGCGUAGAGAUCG